rnacentral:rRNA from 2 species
CCCACCUGAUUUCCAUGCCGAACUCAGAAGUGAAACGAAAUAGCGCCGAUGGUAGUGUGGGGCUUCCCCAUGUGAGAGUAGGACAUCGCCAGGC